rnacentral:lncRNA from 1 species
AAGAAUCCGGGCCAGACACAAGGAGACCAGAUAACAGGCUCUUAUAGGAGCCCAGGAGAAAGAUAAUGGCAGUUUACCAGAAUUCUCUAUGAACCAUCAUUUGCAGCAAGUACACUAAAUGUGGACACUCAUGAGGCAGCAGACACCAUGAGACCCUGAGGGCAAAGGUCUAAAUGGGGGCCAGAAUAUUGAGAAGCCCGGUAGCUGCCGUCUGGCUGGACAAGGGAGCGCCACCUUCUCUUCU